rnacentral:rRNA from 1 species
UGAAGCCAAAGGCCUACCAAGCUGUUACACGCACCCCGAAGGCACGAAGUCCUAACACGAAAGUAGCUUCACCACCACCCCAACACCACGAAAGCUAAGAAACAAACUGGGAUUAGAUACCCCACUAUGCUUAGCCUUAAACCCAGAUGUUAAACUUACAAACAACAUCCGCCAGGGUACUACGAGCGCUAGCUUAAAACCCAAAGGACUUGACGGUGUCUCAGACCCGCCUAGAGGAGCCUGUUCUAGAACCGAUAAUCCCCGUUAAACCCCACCACCCCUUGCUUUUCCCGCCUAUAUACCGCCGUCGCAAGCUUACCCCAUGAGGGACCCACAGUAAGCAAAAAGGGUAUAACCCAGAACGUCAGGUCGAGGUGUAGCUUACGAGGUGGAAAGAAAUGGGCUACAUUUUCUUUAACAGAACACUACGGACAACACCAUGAAACUGGUGUUUAAAGGUGGAUUUAGUAGUAAAAAACAAAUAGAGUGUGUUUUUGAACUAGGCUCUGAGACGCGCACACACCGCCCGUCACUC